UACGUAGGUGGCAAGCGUUGUCCGGAUUUACUGGGCGUAAAGAGCGCGCAGGCGGUCGAGUAAGUCGAAUGUGAAAGCCCCCGGCUUAACUGGGGAGGGUCAUUCGAUACUGUUCGACUUGAAGGCAGGAGAGGGCAGCAGAAUUCCCGGUGUAGUGGUGAAAUGCGUAGAUAUCGGCAGGAACACCCAGGGGGAAACCAGUGGACUGGCACGGUGCUGACGCUCAGGUGCGAAAGCGUGGGGAGCGAACCGG
rnacentral:rRNA from 1 species